rnacentral:rRNA from 1 species
GAUGAACGCUGGCGGCGUGCCUAAUACAUGCGAGUCGAGCGAACAGACGAGGAGCUUGCUCCUCUGACGUUAGCGGCGGACGGGUGAGUAACACGUGGAUAACCUACCUAUAAGACUGGGAUAACUUCGGGAAACCGGAGCUAAUACCGGGUAAUAUAUUGAACCGCAUGGUUCAAUAGUGAAAGACGGUUUUGCUGUCACUUAUAGAUGGAUCCGCGCCGCAUUAGCUAGUUGGUAAGGUAACGGCUUACCAAGGCAACGAUGCGUAGCCGACCUGAGAGGGUGAUCGGCCACACUGGAACUGAGACACGGUCCAGACUCCUACGGGAGGCAGCAGUAGGGAAUCUUCCGCAAUGGGCGAAAGCCUGACGGAGCAACGCCGCGUGAAUGAUGAAGGUCUUCGGAUCGUAAAACUCUGUUAUUAGGGAAGAACAAAUGUGUAAGUAACUAUGCACGUCUUGACGGUACCUAAUCAGAAAGCCACGGCUAACUACGUG